rnacentral:lncRNA from 1 species
UUGGGUCCAGUGCGAGGAUGAUCAGCUGAGCAGCAGAGCAAUGAGGACUCAGGACUAAUAUCAGAGUGGUAGAGAUGAUACAUCUGGAACAAGUUUUAUGGAAAAGGUCUCUCCACUUGGAUCUGCUUCUAAAGAACAUUAUUGGAGUACUGGUGCAGGAGGAGACAGGCCCUUCACCCUUCACAAUGGAAAGGUUCUUCACUUCUGCCAUUCGCGCACUCCCUGAAGUGAGAUGGGAUGCUUCCAGCUACUCUCCCGGUAGCUAUCUGCUUGAUAAUAGAAAGCUCCUAUGGGCUCAUGUCAGGGAGACACAGAAAGAAUGAGAUUCUCUUGCCUUUUUUUCUACAGGAUUUCCUGUGAAACAAUGUGCUCCUUUGUUUGGCUGAUGAACCAAGAGGGC